rnacentral:lncRNA from 1 species
GUCUAGUGAAAGUAAAAAGAAGAAAAACAGAGCUAAGCCAAGGAAAUGAUUUCUUUCCCACCUACAAUGCAUGAAAAGAAAUUAACAUGAAAAGGGUCUGAGGAAGACAUUAAUAUUUUGAUAGUGGCAGAAGAAUGUUAUUUACAAAAAUAAUGACAAAUGUUGAAGAGAAAAUACAGGCUUCCUAGCAACUAGACCAAAGAUAAGAUGCUGUUGAAUUCAAGAUAGACAUUUGGAAUAUACAGUUAGCUGUCAUUUGAACACAGGCCCAUGGCACAAGUUCAGAAACGUAAAGUUACAGAGAAAAUAAAGACCCCCAGAGCAAAAUCACCACAGUCUCCAUGGAAAUCAAUUGGUUCAUUCUUCGUCUUAAGAGUCCAGCAUUCACUCAACAAACAUCUUAUGCUGCCAGGUUUCUCUAAUGCAGCAGGUACGGUCACUAGGAAGAUUACAAACUUGGGUUAAAAAACCUAGAUCACGUUCAAGAUGUUGCAGCUGAGCAGUUACAAUCCAAGAGACUAGGCCCAGACAGAAGGAUAUGCCACAGCAGGAGACAGGAUCCAGAAUGAGAAUAGACAAAAGACAUUUUCAAAAGUCCAGGUUCACAGCUUGACAGAAGCCUUCACACAGAAAGAGCCAUUGCACAUUGGACAGAUGAUCCCAGAAUGGAAGUUUCCAGAGGAAAUAACAGUCAAUAAACAGGGGUUGAUCCCAGGAUUCUGUGCCUGCUAAGCAAACAUUCUGUCACAGAGCUACACCUCCCGUUCCAGAUGAAUUACUGGUGUGAUGAAUUUGACUUCAACUUAAUGACACAACUUGUAAUGUUACCAAAAAAAAAAAAAAAAAAAGGAAUAAUUCCACAAGGCAAACAUUCAAACAUAAAUCCACGAAGUUGAACGUCAUCAGCGAUCUGAUUCAUUUUAUGAUUAGAAUAACAUUCCUUAAUAAUUCUUAUAUAACAUGGCUUGAGAUACCCAAAGUACAUAUUUUCUAUCAACACAAAUGCUUCUUCACCAUGUAUCCUAGGAAAAAAAUCACCUAGGGGUGAUUAUUAAAAAAAAAAAAAAAA